rnacentral:rRNA from 1 species
GAUGAACGCUAGCGGCAGGCCUAACACAUGCAAGUCGAGGGGUAUAGUUCUUCGGAACUAGAGACCGGCGCACGGGUGCGUAACGCGUAUGCAAUCUACCUUUUACAGGGGAAUAGCCCAGAGAAAUUUGGAUUAAUGCCCCAUAGUGUUAUAGAAUCGCAUGGUUUUAUAACUAAAGUUCCAACGGUAAAAGAUGAGCAUGCGUCCCAUUAGUUAGUUGGUAAGGUAACGGCUUACCAAGACAAUGAUGGGUAGGGGUCCUGAGAGGGAGAUCCCCCACACUGGUACUGAGACACGGACCAGACUCCUACGGGAGGCAGCAGUGAGGAAUAUUGGACAAUGGGCGCAAGCCUGAUCCAGCCAUGCCGCGUGCAGGAAGACGGUCCUAUGGAUUGUAAACUGCUUUUGUACAGGAAGAAACACUCCCUCGUGAGGGAGCUUGACGGUACUGUAAGAAUAAGGAUCGGCUAACUCCGUGCCAGCAGCCGCGGUAAAGUAU